UCUGCAGGCUCUUUAUCGUCUCUGCUCCGUUCUCAUUAGCCACAGAUGGACCAGGUGAGUUGGCUUCAGCGCUUGGUCCAGGUGCCUCAGUUGGUGGAGCAGGUGGGCUUGACAACUCUGGACCAGGAGCUGGGGCAGUGUGCUUCUUCGACUUCUUCUUGCUGGGAGUCGGCGCAGGAACCUCUGCGGUUGGUGCAGCCACUGGAGCUGGAGGAGCAUUUU
rnacentral:misc_RNA from 1 species